ACUCCUACGGGAGGCAGCAGUGGGGAAUAUUGCACAAUGGGCGCAAGCCUGAUGCAGCCAUGCCGCGUGUAUGAAGAAGGCCUUCGGGUUGUAAAGCACUUUUCAGUUGUGAGGAAGGUGGUGUCGUUAAUAGCGGCAUCAUUUGACGUUAGCAACAGAAGAAGCACCGGCUAACUCCGUGCCAGCAGCCGCGGUAAUACGGAGGGUGCGAGCGUUAAUCGGAAUUACUGGGCGUAAAGCGCAUGCAGGUGGUUUGUUAAGUCAGAUGUGAAAGCCCGGGGCUCAACCUCGGAACUGCAUUUGAAACUGGCAGACUAGAGUACUGUAGAGGGGGGUAGAAUUUCAGGUGUAGCGGUGAAAUGCGUAGAGAUCUGAAGGAAUACCGGUGGCGAAGGCGGCCCCCUGGACAGAUACUGACACUCAGAUGCGAAAGCGUGGGGAGCAAACAGGAUUAGAUACCC
rnacentral:rRNA from 1 species